UCAAGCUACAAGGGCUCACGGUGGAUACCUGGCACACAGAGCGAUGAAAGGAAGUGUUACUUGCGAUAAGUCUCGGGAGCCUGGAAACGCUUUGAUUCUUGAAUUC
rnacentral:rRNA from 1 species